ACUGUGCUAAGGUAGCAUAAUCAUUUGUUAUUUAAUUGGUAACUUGUAUGAAAGCUUUGACGAGAAAAUAACUAUCUAUUUCACUAAAAUGAAAUUUAUAUUAAAGUAAAAAAGCUUUAUUCUACCAAAAAGACGAUAAGACCCUAGAAUCUUUAUUUAAAAUAAAUUUAUUGGGGCGAUACAAAUUCAAACAAAUUGUUAUUUCAACCCAGUGCGUGAUUUUUUUCAACUUUUUAAAAAAAAAAAGAUACUCUAGGGAUAACAGCAUAAUUCUUCUCUAGAGUCCUUAUCGACAGAAGAGAUUUUGACCUCGAUGUUGAAUUGCAGUUCCUUUUUAGAGCAGAAUCUAAAUAAGGGGGUCUGUUCGACCUUUAAUACUCCACGUGAU
rnacentral:rRNA from 1 species